CUACUUUCAAAUGCAUUAUUUUGACAAAUAUACCUACUAAUACGCAAUGUAUUUUUGGUACCAUUAGCACAAAUAAGGGCUAGUGUAAUAAACCCUAAGCAGAGGGAAGAUAGAGAAUUGAGUUUGGAAUUGCUACAAAUAGUUCAAGAUUCUACUUCCAUCCCUAUAUUUUAAUAUUUACAGAAGUGGCAUCUAAAAAGUUUCUAGGCAAGCAAGAUUUACAAAUGUCUCAAGAAAAAUAAAAAACACCAGAACAGCUUCUCGCCCCAAUUUGCUUCUGAUCCUAUUUUGAAAUAAUUCCAUUAUUUAGUACACAGAUUGUGCAGGAUAAAGACCAGAGAAGAGAGAGGAAGGGCCAAACCUGGGAAGGAUCUAUACAUCAGUCAGGCCAGAGAAGAGAAAGCCAGGAGGCAGUGUGGAAAGUUGGUGCAGGUAUAUGAGGUGAGGAGUCACCAUGACCUAAUUGGUACUUUAAGAAUUUUGAGAAGACAGUCAUGUUUUGGUUACAAUUUCUGUCUAAAUCUUCUAUCAUUUGAAAAAUACAUGUGGGUUUUUUAGCUCUUUAUGUUUAACUGGAGCCUAAGGGGAUCACCC
rnacentral:lncRNA from 1 species